rnacentral:rRNA from 1 species
UACGUAGGGUGCGAGCGUUAAUCGGAAUUACUGGGCGUAAAGCGUGCGCAGGCGGUUCGUUAUGUCCGUUGUGAAAGCCCCGGGCUCAACCUGGGAAUGGCAAUGGAAACUGGCGGGCUAGAGUGUGGCAGAGGGGGGUGGAAUUCCGCGUGUAGCAGUGAAAUGCGUAGAGAUCGGGAGGAACAUCCGUGGCGAAGGCGACUACCUGGACCAGCACUGACACUGAGGCACGAAAGCGUGGGGAGCAAACAGG